UACGUAGGUGGCAAGCGUUGUCCGGAAUUAUUGGGCGUAAAGCGCGCGCAGGCGGUCUCUUAAGUCUGAUGUGAAAUCCCGUGGCUUAACCACGGGCGGUCAUUGGAAACUGGGGGACUUGAGUGCAGAAGAGAAGAGCGGAAUUCCACGUGUAGCGGUGAAAUGCGUAGAGAUGUGGAGGAACACCAGUGGCGAAGGCGGCUUUCUGGUCUGUAACUGACGCUGAGGCGCGAAAGCGUGGGGAGCAAACAGG
rnacentral:rRNA from 1 species